GACGAACGCUGGCGGCGUGCUUAACACAUGCAAGUCGAACGGAAAGGCCCUGCUUUUGUGGGGUGCUCGAGUGGCGAACGGGUGAGUAACACGUGAGUAACCUGCCCUUGACUUUGGGAUAACUUCAGGAAACUGGGGCUAAUACCGGAUAGGAGCUCCUGCUGCAUGGUGGGGGUUGGAAAGUUUCGGCGGUUGGGGAUGGACUCGCGGCUUAUCAGCUUGUUGGUGGGGUAGUGGCUUACCAAGGCUUUGACGGGUAGCCGGCCUGAGAGGGUGACCGGCCACAUUGGGACUGAGAUACGGCUCAGACUCCUACGGGAGGAAGCAGUGGGGAAUAUUGCACAAUGGGCGGAAGCCUGAUGCAGCAACGCCGCGUGCGGGAUGACUGCCUUCGGGUUGUAAACCGCUUUCGCCUGUGACGAAGCGUGAGUGACGGUAAUGGGUAAAGAAGCACCGGCUAACUACGUG
rnacentral:rRNA from 1 species